CCAUGAUCCACGAAAAAGGGAAAACAUUUUCGGCUUUUCAUACAAAAGCUAUUUCUUCUUUACUAUUUUUGGAACACUUGAAAAAUCUGCAUACAAGUGAUCCUAAGCAAGGGGAGAGCUAUUACUCCAGAAGAAAUGGUACAGCGGUGUCUGCAGACCGUAAAACACAACCGCUCUGGUUGGGCCAUCUGAUAAUUCUGCGAGCAUCUUAAGGUCAUAGGGUGCAUAUCAGAAGGAAAGAUUACUGAUGUCUUGAGAAGCUCAUGGCCGCCCAAGUAAAAGAUAGAAUUUCAGAGGAGGAGGAAGAAACAGAGGAAGAGCAUCCUAUUCUUUAUAAAUGCAACACUGGUCUCAGUCUAUGUAUAAAACA